AACUACCUUGGUUUCCAGAGGCCUCAGCUGCGUUCUUGUCUAGGUCCUUUGACAUUGUUCUAUGUUCAAGAAAGGCCAUUUGCACAAGAUAAAAGUGGGCCACCCAUUUUUCCUCCUGAUAGGAUGGAAAACUGCUAAAAUAGGACAUUAAUCUCCUUCCAGGAAGGGGAGUGGACCGAUCCCUCGUGAGGGCUCGGGGUGGGCAAUGGCAUGUGGCCAGGGUGAGAGCCCGCCCCUGCUCUGAACUCCCAGCUGCAUGGUCAGCACAGCUCCGUGGGUGUGCAAACCAGGUUGCAGCUGCAGCAGCAAAAAGGCCACUGACAACAUGCCAACAUGACCAACAGAAACGGCGCCUAAAGAGUGAAGCAGAGUGCCUGGGAGCAGGGCCUGCAGCUCGGCCCAGCAGGUGCAAGUUGGGAAAACUACACGUCUCAAUGCAGAAGACACUCAGAGCAACACGGAACACCCCAGCAGGAACUUCAGGCCAGCCUGAGCGGGAAUGGAGCCUCAGCCACGGUGGAAGGACAUCCAGAGACAAACUCCAGGUGAUAGAAGAUACUGUAAGCUUGACUGUGCUCACGUAUAUUCAACGAUCGCCCACGUUGCCGUAUUCCCCCAUGAGGGAAGCCCACGCUCCUGGUUGCUGGUCACUGCGGAGUCCCAUGCCAAGGAUCCUGGUAACCCUGGUAACAAGAAGUUUCCCUGCUGUUUUGACUGUGUGUCUCCCAGGGCUGGGGGUGGGGGCGAGCUGGGCUCGGUGCAGUGGCUGCCAGAGCUCCUGCUCUGCUCUCCCCCCACGCCUUGCUCGCUGCCCACCCUGCCAUGGCCUCUUUUCUAUUUCUUCUCCUUAGCCCACCCUGUCUCGUGGACGGGGAAGAUGGUGAGAACAGUGACGACCCCCUCAGGAGGGAGGUAGAGCCCCAGAAUCCUGCAAUGAUGAACUCUCUGCUCACUGGGGUCCAGGUCUGCCCCAGGGACUAGACCCCCAGAAAGCAGCAGGGCCCAUUUUCAGAAAAUGAGAGGCAUUUGUUCCCUGAGCUUGUUGCAUGAAAGCACUGUUUCUUUUCUUUUUCGAAUGUUAAAAAAGGUAAAUAUUCCAGCAGGUGGAAAGCAGGGAAAUACAGCAGGGUCCCAAUGAUAAGCAUCAGCAUGGACCCAGGACACUCACUAAACACACAGACUCGCUGUGACGAAGCUGCGGGGACAGAAGAACAUGGGGCCACAGGCAGCCCUCACCCUCCCAGGCCGAGGCUCACUGGUCCUCCCCGCAGGUUGCUCUGGAGCCUCCGCCCUCAGCCCUAUAAACACACACCUAUAAACACAGCUGACUCCUCACUCCCCACACUCGCCUCCUGCUCUCCCUGCUCCAGGCGACCCCAGCAUGAGGACCCUCGCCCUCCUCGCUGCCCUCCUCCUGCUGGCCCUCCAGGCCCAGGCCGGGCCCCUGAAAGAGAGAGAUGACGGGGCCCCAGCCCAGGAGCAGCCCGGGACAGAGGACCGGGACAUGAUCAUCUCCUUUACAGGGGACAGGAUCUCAGCUGUCAGAAUUGCAGGUGAGAGACCCCAACACUGCAGAGCUGGGGCGACUAGAGAGGAAACCCAGAUUCCUCUGGAAUCAGUCCCAGCCACGGCCUCUGUGUGUCUUCAGGUGAUCACCUCCCCAGGCCUCAGUUUCCUCCUGUGUACACUGAAGAGAAAGAACCAUAUGAUAGGAAGACACCUUUUUACUCUGAAGAUGUUUGACUCUAUGACAAUUCUGUGAAAUGCACUAAUGUCAUGAUUUGUCGCAGCACAGUGGGGGGUCUCUCCUGCAAUGUCCCCGCAGAGAGCCCAGUUGAAGAGAAAUGUAUCUUAACACUGUCUCUUAGAGGAGCUUUAGAAAGUGGAGACGGCGUCAGGGUGUGUUCAGACGUGAGUGUGACGGGGCAGGGGAGCAAAGUGGGGAGAAAAUGGGAACGGCUCUCGAAUCCUGCCGUGCCCAGCACAGCGCCUGUGUUUAUUCCUGUCGACUGGGGAUGGUCAGUUCUGCCUGGCGCGAUGUCGCCAACAGGAUGAACCCGACUAUCCACCAAGGACCUGCCGGGGACUCCCUUUACCUCCCACCUCUGCGCCAGCCCUAGUGCCCCAUGCUCUCUCUGUGUCCCCAGGCUCAGCCAGGGACUUGACCUGCGCCUGCAGAAAAAGAAGGUGUCGUUCAUCUGAGCGCGUCUCUGGGAGCUGCCUCUCCGAUGGCGAGGAGUACCCGUUCUGCUGCCGCUGAGCACUGAGAACGGAGCACAGUGAGGUCAUCGCGUGCUCUGAGACCUAGAAGGAGACUUUUACUCCUCCUGUCCCUUGUCCCCCACUUCCUUUCCUCAUCUCAAAUAAAGUCCUUGUAGCAAUA